CCUACGGGCGGCAGCAGUGAGGAAUAUUGGUCAAUGGACGCAAGUCUGAACCAGCCAUGCCGCGUGCAGGAAGACGGCUCUAUGAGUUGUAAACUGCUUUUGUACGAGAGUAAACGCAGAUACGCGUAUCUGUCUGAAAGUAUCUUACGAAUAAGGAUCGGCUAACUCCGUGCCAGCAGCCGCGGUAAUACGGAGGAUUCGAGCGUUAUCCGGAUUUAUUGGGUUUAAAGGGUGCGUAGUCGGUCUGAUAAGUCAGAGGUGAAAGCCCGAGGCUCAACUUCGGAAUUGCAUCUGAUACUGGUAGGCUAGAGAGUAGUUGCGGUAGGCGGAAUGUAUGGUGUAGCGGUGAAAUGCUUAGAGAUCAUACAGAACACCGAUUGCGAAGGCAGCUUACCAAGCUACUUCUGACGUUGAGGCACGAAAGCGUGGGGAGCAAACAGGAUUAGAUACCCGAGUAGUC
rnacentral:rRNA from 1 species